rnacentral:lncRNA from 1 species
GUCCAGAGAUGGCCAUAAGAAGAUGACUUCAAGGCUUGCUACUGGCUUCCAGGGUCUUCCUUUCUCCAGAGAUAGUCUCGUGGCUGGCAGUGGACUUAAAAAAAGGAUGUUUGGGCAGACAAAUAAGACCCAAAGGACAGAGGAGACUACCAGAUUGUUGGAACCAUUCUGAUUUGGCACUUUAUCUGUCACCAAGAUUUGCUGAGAGCUGGAGUCCCAACAGCAGCAAAGGGCACAGAGUCUGAAAUCCACAGAAACAGGAGAUUAAACCCAGGGAGUAUGGAGCUACAUUCCUAGCCGUGUAUGUAUUUAUGUAUGUAUGUAUUUUAUUUUUAAAAAAAUAAAGUCUGGCUAAGUUGCCCUGGAUGGCCUCAAACUUGC